GACGAACGCUGGCGGCGUGCUUAACACAUGCAAGUCGUACGACAGCAUUUCCUUUUAGGUUGUGUUUGGAGUGGCGAACGGGUGAGUAACACGUGAGUGACCUGCCCUUCACUUUGGGAUAACGUGCGGAAACGUGCGCUAAUACCAAAUAUUCGCAUUUCUGCUGCAUGGUGGGGUGUGGAAAGGGGCCUUCGGGUUCGUGGUGGGGGAGUGGGCGUCGCGGCCUAUCAGCNGUGUUGGUGGGGUGAUGGCCUACCAAGGCGUGGACGGGUAGCCGGCCUGAGAGGGUGUUCGGUCACACUGGGACUGAGAUACGGCCCAGACUCCUACGGAGGCAGCAGUGGGGGAUUUUGCACAAUGGACGAAAGUCUGAUGCAGUGACGCCGCGUGGGGGAUGACGGCCUCGG
rnacentral:rRNA from 1 species